CCUACGGGUGGCAGCAGUGGGGAAUAUUGGUCAAUGGGCGCAAGCCUGACCCAGCAACGCCGCGUGAAGGAAGAAGGCUCUCGGGUUGUAAACCUCCUUUUUGAGGGACGAAGAAAGUGACGGUACUUCAGGAAUAAGUCUCGGUUAUCUACGUGCCAGCAGUCGCGGCAAUACGUAGGUGGCAAGCGUUAUCCGGAUUCAUUCGGUGUAAAGGGCGUGUAGGCGGGAAAGGAAGUCAGGUGUGAAAACUCUGGGCUCAACCCUGAGCCUGCAUUUGAAACUGUUUUUCUUGAGUGCUGGAGAGGCAGUCGGAAUGCCGGGUGUAGCGGUGAAAUGCGUAGAUAUACGGAAGAACACCGGUGGCGAAGGCAGAUUGCUAGACAGUAACUGACGCUGAGGCGCGAAAGCGUGGGGAGCAAACAGGAUUAGAUACCCGUGUAGUC
rnacentral:rRNA from 1 species